GUGAGGAAUAUUGCGCAAUGGAGGCAACUCUGACGCAGCCAUGCCGCGUGCAGGAAGAAGGCGCUACGCGUUGUAAACUGCUUUUAACCGGGAAGAAACCCCAGGACGUGUCCUGGGUUGACGGUACCGGAGGAAUAAGCACCGGCUAACUUCGUGCCAGCAGCCGCGGUAAUACGAAGGGUGCAAGCGUUAUCCGGAUUCAUUGGGUUUAAAGGGUGCGUAGGCGGAGCGUUAAGUCAGUGGUGAAAUCCUGCAGCUUAACUGUAGACUUGCCAUUGGUACUGGCGCUCUUGAGUGCGCUUGAAGUGGGCGGAAUGUGCCGUGUAGCGGUGAAAUGCUUAGAUAUGGCACAGAACACCAAUUGCGAAGGCAGCUCACUAAGGCGAUACUGACGCUGAGGCACGAAAGCGUGGGGAUCGAACAGGAUUAGAAACCCGGGUAGUCC
rnacentral:rRNA from 1 species